rnacentral:rRNA from 1 species
GACGAACGCUGGCGGCGUGCUUAACACAUGCAAGUCGAGCGAUGAAGUUCCUUCGGGAACGGAUUAGCGGCGGACGGGUGAGUAACACGUGGGUAACCUGCCUCAUAGAGGGGAAUAGCCUUUCGAAAGGAAGAUUAAUACCGCAUAAGAUUGUAGUUUCGCAUGAAACAGCAAUUAAAGGAGUAAUCCGCUAUGAGAUGGACCCGCGUCGCAUUAGCUAGUUGGUGAGGUAGCGGCUCACCAAGGCGACGAUGCGUAGCCGACCUGAGAGGGUGAUCGGCCACAUUGGGACUGAGACAAGGCCCAGACUCCUACGGGGGGCAGCAGUGGGGAAUAGUGCACAAUGGGGGAAACCCUGAUGCAGCAACGCCGCGUGAGUGAUGACGGUCUUCGGAUUGUAAAACUCUGUCUUCAGGGACGAUAAUGACGGUACCUGAGGAGGAAGCCACGGCUAACUACGUGCCAGCCGCCGCGGUAA